rnacentral:lncRNA from 1 species
AUAUAUGCAAAAUUAAAAACUUAAAUCUGUAAAAAAAUAUUUAAGAAUACAGACGAGGUUUAGCUAAUCCUUAAUUAAUUUCAACAAAUCCGUAUAAUCUUUCUUGCUUAGAUUAACAUAAUCCAAUAUAAACCAUCUAAUUCCGUGUGCAAUGCAAAAAAGCUCAUACAACGUUUUUGAGCUCUAAACUUGCAUGUUCUCAUUUUGUUCUUCUUUAAAUGCCAUCCUAAUCUACAAAAUUGAUCUAUAAUCAAUCCAAUAUAAAAUAAUAAUAAUAAUAAUAAUA